rnacentral:rRNA from 1 species
GACGAACGCUGGCGGCGUGCUUAACACAUGCAAGUCGAACGGAAAGGCCCUGCUUUUGUGGGGUGCUCGAGUGGCGAACGGGUGAGUAACACGUGAGUAACCUGCCCUUGACUUUGGGAUAACUUCAGGAAACUUGGGCUAAUACCGGAUAGGAGCUCCUGCUGCAUGGUGGGGGUUGGAAAGUUUCGGCGGUUGGGGAUGGACUCGCGGCUUAUCAGCUUGUUGGUGGGGUAGUGGCUUACCAAGGCUUUGACGGGUAGCCGGCCUGAGAGGGUGACCGGCCACAUUGGGACUGAGAUACGGCCCAGACUCCUACGGGAGGCAGCAGUGGGGAAGAUUGCACAAUGGGCGGAAGCCUGAUGCAGCAACGCCGCGUGCGGGAUGACGGCAUUCGGGUUGUAAACCGAUUUCGCCUGUGACGAAGCGUGAGUGACGGUAAUGGGUAAAGAAGCACCGGCUAACUACGUG